rnacentral:ncRNA from 2 species
GUCAACUACCCACCGCUUGUAGAAGCGGAGGCUUGAAAAAAGCCUGGUUGACUACCUUCAGCCACAUAAGUGGCUACGUUAGACAGGUACACCCUGUGAUGCUGCUCAAGUUCCAGGCUCUGUCGUACAGGUCUAAACAGUCCUGAGGGGUAGGGGCAGUAACCUGCACAUAACAAGCCUGUCUAACAUUGGGGAUGAGCAACCAACAGGGAUAAUCCCU